rnacentral:rRNA from 1 species
UCCGUAGGCGGGCAAUUAAGUCAGAGGUGAAAUCCCACAGCUCAACUGUGGAACUGCCUUUGAUACUGGUUGUCUUGAGUUAUAGUGAAGUAGAUAGAAUAUGUAGUGUAGCGGUGAAAUGCAUAGAUAUUACAUAGAAUACCGAUUGCGAAGGCAGUCUACUAACUGUAUACUGACGCUAAUGGACAAAAGCGUGGGGAGCGAACAGGAUUAGAUACCCUGGUAGUCC